CACACACGCACGCACGGGAGCGAGGUUUCCGCUGCCGCUGCCAGAGACAACAGGCAGCAGCCGAGCCCGAGCUGCGAAGGAGGAGCGGCAGCAGCGGGCGAGGGGGACACACGCACACGCACGCACACGCACGCACCGCGGAAAUGGGCAUUUCAGGUAAGGUGCCUAGCGCUGAUGGGAUGUGUCUCCGCUAACUUCCAAAUCACAUUCACCGACAAAUGAUGCCACGUAUUUGCAGAUCACAAAUUAUAUUUCAUGCUGUCAGGAUCUUCUCCAAGUGGACUUCCUUGCAUGUCUAAGCACACAGCACCGAAUCUAUUAUCG